GAUGAACGCUGGCGGCGUGCCUAAUACAUGCAAGUCGAGCGAACAGACGAGGAGCUUGCUCCUCUGACGUUAGCGGCGGACGGGUGAGUAACACGUGGAUAACCUACCUAUAAGACUGGGAUAACUUCGGGAAACCGGAUCUAAUACCGGAUAAUAUAUUGAACCGCAUGGUUCAAUAGUGAAAGACGGUUUUGCUGUCACUUAUAGAUGGAUCCGCGCCGCAUUAGCUAGUUGGUAAGGUAACGGCUUACCAAGGCAACGAUGCGUAGCCGACCUGAGAGGGUGAUCGGCCACACUGGAACUGAGACACGGUCCAGACUCCUACGGGAGGCAGCAGUAGGGAAUCUUCCGCAAUGGGCGAAAGCCUGACGGAGCCACGCCGCGUGAGUGAUGAAGGUCUUCGGAUCGUAAAACUCUGUUAUUAGGGAAGAACAAAUGUGUAAGUAACUAUGAACGUCUUGACGGUACCUAAUCAGAAAGCCACGGCUAACUACGUG
rnacentral:rRNA from 1 species